rnacentral:lncRNA from 1 species
AAACUAUCAACCUCCCAGUUCUCAUAUAUCAGCGAAGUGAGAGCCUCAAAAUCCUGAAUAUAUUCAAGCAUUUCAACUACUUAUGAUCAAGCAGAUCGAAUUCAAAAUUUCAAAACUUAAGCAAAUACAGAAACAUAUAUUCUUCAAUGAAAUGUACAGGAUUCGAAAUUCUAAAACUUUAAAAUUUGCAAAAUCAUGAAAUAAUUCAACAAAUUAACUGAUACAGAUCGAAACAAAAAAAAAAGCAAAUGAGUUCGUCUAAAUGCCAUAAUCGGACUCCAAUAUCGCAUGCCCAGUGCCCACAUUCAAAUUCAUAGUCAAGUCCACAAUAGAUCUAGAAAAAUACAAAACAUAUUCAGAGAAAAAUACAAACUUUUCCACCUUAAAUUACAUAAAUUUCAAAUGGGUAACCAUAAAAUUAAAAACCCAUAAACUGAAAAAUAAAUAAAACCCACAACCUUUGCUGCAGCGACAUCGCAGUGAUUGUCGCAAGCUCUUACAAUUCCUCUUUUCGUCGGGUCUCGAAAGGGGUGAGGGAAAAUCAUUGUUUGGAAGAAAGAAUCCGCGAGGAGGACAAGAGAACACUGGAGAAUGAGUGAUUUGGAGGAAGAGAGGAAGGAGAGGGAGAGAGAGAGAGAGAGAGAGAGAGAGACUGAGGAAGCAAGGCAGAAAGGAAGCAGCGGCGGGGAGAGAGAGCGAGUAUUUGAGUCUCAAACUUUGAGAUCUGAAAAUGAAAUGGGAGUGGGAC